AGUGCUCCUGCUGACCUUCCGUGUCUGCAGCCCGGCUUUGGACUGUGGAGAUGCCCUCAGCCUCUACUCAGUGGCUCCAGCCUCAUAUUUGCGUGCUAUACCUUUAACCUCAAGUCCUCUUGCUGCUAACUUAAGCUGCGACUGUCCAGGACCUGCACACACACACACAUGCACGCAUGCACACACACACACACAGAAGGUGAACACACAGGAUGAGGCCCUGAAAACUCAUUUCACCCGUGUACCUCACCCAAAAAUUCCCCUUUGUACUCCUAUCUUUAUCUCUAACUGACAGCAUGAAGCCCUGACUGCCGAAACCCUCCAGCCCCAGCUCCAGCCCCUCAGGAGGGGACUGCGUGGGAGGAAUGACUCCAGCAAGCCGGCAGCUGACCCGUCUCCUGCCUGCACGCCUCCCGCUGUGGUCCACUGCCGGUGGUCUUCAGCUCUCUCCUCGUCCCACCCCCAUGGUCUGCUGACAGCCCAGCUCAGUGCAUCCCUGCCAUCUCUGCUCUACCGCUGGUCCUCCCAACAACCAACUUACAGGUUUGGGGGCACACGUGAAGGUUUGACAUAUAGUAAACACAUGUCAUGGUGGUUUGUUGUACAGAUUAUUACAUCACCCAGGGUUUCACUCCCGUCACCCAGACUGGAGUACAAUGGUGCGAUCUCAGCUCACUGCAACCUCUGCCUCCUGGGCUUAAGCGAUUCUCCUGCCUUGGCCUCCCAAGUAGCUGGGAUUACAGGUGCCUGCCACCACUCCUGGCUAAUUUUUGUAUUUUUUGUAAAGGCGGAGUUUCUCCAUGUUGCCCAGGCUAGUCUCAAACUCCUGAGCUCAAGCAAUCCACCCGCCUCGGCCUCCCAAAUAAGUGGAAUUAUAGGUGUGAGCCACCACGCCGGCCCUGAUGUAUCAAUAUUAAAACAUUUUCUUCAGCCUACAA
rnacentral:lncRNA from 1 species